AUUUACUACCAUCAGCAGCACUAAUCUCAGCAUUCAUGCCAUGUAUCAUCCCAUUUAGUAAAGGUAGCUUUUUUAUCUCCAUUUUAUCUUUUUCUAACCCACCAUUCAAACUUUUCUUAUUGGUAGCCCUCUCUUUCUUAACUCUUCCUUUGACCAAUGGCCGCAGGGGGAAAACCCUGACUCCAUUAUCUUCCCCCAAAAUCAGAACCCCAAAAGAUACACUAAUGGAAAACACGGGCAGAGAACAAUCAAUCA
rnacentral:misc_RNA from 1 species